rnacentral:ncRNA from 2 species
GUUUUAUCGAGAGCCGGGGAAGAGAGUUGGCUCGAAGAUCCCGGCACCAACCUGGCCGAUGAGCCAAGGUGGUCCUGCCGACAUCGAUGAAGG